GAUGAACGCUGGCGGCGUGCCUAAUACAUGCAAGUCGAACGCAUUGUGGUUGAAAUGAUAUGAAGAACUUGUUCAGAUUUGAUUUUCAACAUUGCAAUGAGUGGCGAACGGGUGAGUAACACGUGGGAAACCUACCUCUUAGCAGGGGAUAACAUUUGGAAACAAAUGCUAAUACCGUAUAAUAAUUAAACCGCAUGGUUUUAGUUUAAAGAUGGUCUUGCUAUCACUAAGAGAUGGUCCCGCGGUGUAUUAGUUAGUUGGUGAGGUAAUGGCUCACCAAGACAAUGAUACAUAGCCGAGUUGAGAGACUGACCGGCACAAUGGGACUGAGACACGGCCCAUACUCCUACGGGAGGCAGCAGUAGGGAAUCUUCCACAAUGGACGAAAGUCU
rnacentral:rRNA from 1 species